AAGCUGACCAGUGGCAGAAACAUUUCCAAGAACAUGAAUGAGACGUUACGUGCCCGUAGGACAACUCCCCGCUUCUCAGUAAUCUCCUUACAAACUGCAGCUCCAUGCUUCGGUGGGAGUGACCUUCAGAACCAUACAGUGUGGACCUUCCGCCAUGUCGGCAGCUGCUGAGGUUCAGAG